CUCUUUCUUCAGAUGAUGAUCCUUAUUAUGAGUGCAUUAAACUUAUUAUGAGUGCAAAUGUUUUGAAUAAAACCUUUUAAAUCAGCCUAUAAUCACAAAAGGUUAAGCAGGCUUGCCGCCUUCAUUUCUCUUUCUUCCGAUGAUGAUCCCAAGCCUUCAAGCGUUCUGUUCAUCAAAUUUCAAAAGCGUUUAAGAAACAGGUAAAAAGGUGUUUAAGAAACAUAUCUGUUUCUUAAACAUAUCUUUUUGUUUUCUUUUGUUUGUCCCGAGGAAGGUUUUUACCGAUUUACUCCUGAGGGCUUGUAGCUCAGUUGGUU
rnacentral:misc_RNA from 2 species